rnacentral:ribozyme from 1 species
AAGAAUGACAAAACGCAAGCCAAUGCCUUGGAUUUUCCUUGUCCUGUUCUAUUUUUCAUCACUUUUUUCUAUCUUUUUUUGUUUCUGUUAAUUAUUUGUUGGGUUGUAAUUGAUUACAAGAAAGUUGGGUUGA